GACGAACGCUGGCGGCGUGCUUAACACAUGCAAGUCGAACGGAAAGGCCCUGCCUUUGUUGGGUGCUCGAUUGGCGAACGGGUGAGUAACACGUGAGUAACCUGCCCUUGACUUUGGGAUAACUUCAGGAAACUGGGGCUAAUAUCGGAUAGGAGCUCCUGCUGCAUGGUGUGGGUUGGAAAGUUUCGGCGUUUGGGGAUGGACUCGCGGCUUAUCAGCUUGUUGGUGGGGUAGUGGCUUACCAAGGCUUUGACGGGUAGCCGGCCUGAGAGGGUGACCGGCCACGUUGGGCCUGAGAUACGGCCCAGCCUCCUACGGGAGGCAGCAGUGGAGAAUAUUGCACAAUGGGCGGAAGCCUGAUGCAGCAACGCCGCGUGCGGGAUGACGGCCUUCGGGUUGUAAACCGCUUUCGCCUGUGACGAAGCGUGAGUGACGGUAAUGGGUAAAGAAGCACCGGCUAACUACGUG
rnacentral:rRNA from 1 species